AGGAUAAUGUCGCGCCGGUGGAAUGUCCGACUAGACUCGCGAGCUCGCUGUUCCACAUCAAUGGCGCACACGCUCUGUCUCGGCGUCACUCUCUCCACACGCACUCCCCAACCACCUUCUUCUUCUUCUUCUUCUUCAUCUUCAUCUUCUUCUCGUUCAUCGAGUCGGCCGUUGAAGCUCGCCGAGAGGAAUCUCCGUUCGAACGCUUCGGAUACUGCUCGAAGAAGAGGUCCUGUUUCUCCUUCGCACAAAACCCAGAAGCUGAACUCGGAGGUCUCCCCUCACAGAGCUGUAUCUGCGGUCAGAUUGAUGAGAAUAGAGCUGGGCGGUGCUUUCGCUGACCUCUUGAAUGACAGAGGGAAAGGGUCUGGCGACAACGAGAUGGGCUAUGUCGAACGAACUCUCGGCUUCCGCACCCGCGAGUUGGAUGAUCGCGAUCUGAGAUUGGUCACAGAUGUUGUUGGAGGCACCAUCCGUUGGAGAAGGUUUCUUGAUCACUUGAUCGUGUCUUUAUGCCAUGACCAGAGCAUGUUUAGAAGCAUGGAACCACUUCUUCUACAGAUUCUUCGGAUCGGGAUGUAUGAGAUUGUCAAGCUGGAUAUGCCACCUUAUGCUGUUGUAGAUGAGAAUGUAAGGCUUGCUAAGGUUGCCCUCAGACCUGGUGCUGGCAACAUGGUGAAUGGUAUUCUCAGGAAGCUAGUCCGGCUAAAGGAAAGUGAUGCUCUUCCACUGCCUAAAUUGGAAGGUGAUGACCGUGCACAAGCACGUGCUCUUGCCACUCUUUAUUCUCACCCUGUGUGGAUGGUAAGGCGUUGGACUAAGUACUUUGGGAGAGAAGAAGCAAUAAAACUGAUGGUUUGGAAUAACAGUGAACCCAGCUAUAGUUUAAGGGCAAAUACUGGAAAAGGUGUCACAAGAGCUGACCUUGUGAAGCAGCUUGACAUGUUGGAGGUUCCGUACGAGUGUUCCUUAAAUAUGGAGGACUUUGUCCGAAUUAAGACUGGAAUGCAGAUCAUCAUACAAGCUGGAUUGCUUAAAGAAGGUACAUGUGCAGUCCAGGAUGAGAGUGCAGGUUUGGUAGUCUUGCUUUUGGAUCCUCAACCUAGCGACUGCAUUAUUGAUUGUUGUGCUGCUCCUGGAGGAAAGACUCUCUACAUGGCAUCCCGUUUAAGUGGACAAGGGAUGAUCUCUGCUAUUGAUGUAAACAGCGGAAGAUUGAGAAUCCUCCAAGAGACUGCAAAGGUGCACCAGGUUGAUGGAGUCAUCACUACGGUCCAUGCAGAUCUUCGUGGUUUUGCUGGCAAUAACUCACUGAAGGCCCAUAAAGUCUUGUUGGAUGCUCCAUGUUCUGGACUGGGUGUUUUGUCCAAGAGAGCUGACUUACGGUGGAAUAAGAAUUUAGAAGAUCUGGAAGAGCUCAAGGAACUGCAAAAUGAACUUCUUGAUGCAGCCUCCAGAUUGGUGAAGCCUGGUGGUGUGUUAGUGUACAGUACUUGCUCCAUUGAUCCUGAAGAGAAUGAGGAGAGAGUGACAGCAUUUCUUCUCAGGCAUCCGCUGGCCACUUCAUAUAGUCCUAUAUUCUUAAUGUCUUUGGGGGGCGGAUGCUCAAAUUGGACUUGAAGCUGUAAAAUCCAUCUGUCAUUCAAAAUGGUUGCUAUUAGCCUCCUUGAGUGAUCAUGCCAGCUCCAGUGAACUGUUUUCUUGGCACAUCUGAUUCCAGUUUUUAGGUGUGCUGUGUCUGCAUGACUCAAAGUCUCAUGUUCCGUUGCAGCUUUUUAUUGGUUCUUGGCUCAGUUGAGGUUAAUAAGUUUAAGACGGCAGAUGCAAGGUUAUGUUCAACCUGAUCCCACUCAUACCAUGCUUGAGAAAUGUGCUUACCAUCAUCGGCCAGAAUAUGUAGCCCCUAAUCCAGCUAGCUUUGAGCUCCAGCCCAACCCCUCCAUGGUAGAUCGGUGCAACACAAUACAGAGAGAGAACGAAUCAAA